rnacentral:snoRNA from 1 species
UUGCAGCCAGUUAAGCCGACUGUGCUCUUUUCCCCAUGGGGGCCCAGUGUGCAAUGGCUGCAAAUAGCAGGCUCCUUGGUAGUGUAUGCAACCUGUUGCCUGUACAGGUUGCCCUAAGGGACCUUGGAGACAACU